rnacentral:rRNA from 1 species
AAUCAACGCUGGCGGCGUGCCUCAGACAUGCAAGUCGAACGCGAAAGUCCCCUUCGGGGGACAAGUAGAGUGGCGCACGGGUGAGUAACACGUAGGUAAUCCACCUUCGGAUGGGGAAUAACAACCGGAAACGGGUUGCUAAUACCGCAUAAUGCAGCGGCACCUAAUGGUGACAGUUGUUAAAGCGGGGGAUCGAAAGACCUCGCGUCUGAAGAGGAGCCUGCGGCGGAUUAGCAGUUGGUAAGGUAACGGCUUACCAAGGCGACGAUCCGUAGCCGGCCUGAGAGGGGCGGUCGGCCACACUGACACUGACAUACGGGUCAGACUCCGUACGGGAGGCAGCAGUCGGGAAUUUUGGGCAAUGGGCGGAAGCCUGACCCAGCAACGCCGCGU